UACGUAGGGUGCAAGCGUUGUCCGGAAUUAUUGGGCGUAAAGAGCUCGUAGGCGGUUUGUCGCGUCUGCUGUGAAAACCCGAGGCUCAACCUCGGGCCUGCGGUGGGUACGGGCAGACUAGAGUGUGGUAGGGGAGACUGGAAUUCCUGGUGUAGCGGUGAAAUGCGCAGAUAUCAGGAGGAACACCGAUGGCGAAGGCAGGUCUCUGGGCCACUACUGACGCUGAGAAGCGAAAGCGUGGGGAGCGAACAGG
rnacentral:rRNA from 1 species